AAAAUUUGAGUUCAACUUAUAUUUAAAUUGGAACUGUUUUUCUCCAAAUUUGUUUUUAUUUUUUUGUACAUAAUGAAGGAAAAACUAAUGAAAGCUUGCGAGGCACAUGUCGCCCGUUGCAAUGCUUCUCUUCUUAGUUUGUGGUGUCUAAUGGUGACGAAUUGGUGGAGAUUUUAGAUCUCUUUGAAUGCUGGUUUGAAGUUUCUACCCUGCUUUGGCACAUCCAAGAAUGAUGUUGAUCAAUUUUUUUUUGUCACUGUCCAACAGCCUCUAGGAAAAAAUAUUGUGAGACUUAAGGAACAAAGGAAUAACCUAGAGGAUAGGAAUUCUAAUUAGUAGCAGACAUAAAAUUUGGGAAGCAGCUGCUGGUUGAGUUUUAGUUUGACUGAUAUAAGUAUUGUUGUUAAUGUAAGAGGACGUAAAUUUAAAUGUGUUGAAACGCGCUAUUCUCCUACUUAUGGGUUGAGAAAGAAUCAUGAUUAGCAAUUAUAAUUUUAAUAUCUUUAUCCAAAAUAUGCUAAACUCUUGGAGUUGAAGUGAAUAGAAACAAAAAAUAAAAGAAAGCAGGAAAUAGAGGUGGGAAUAAAGGGGGCAAAAACGUGAAAUUGAAAGGAAGACCAUAUUUUUCAACAACCAAUGCUUUUUGUCGGGCUUUAGGCAUUAAAAAAAGGCAUCUCUCCAUCCAUGUGCACCUUCUCAGACCUCUAAAUUCUUCUACCCCAAAUGGCAAUGUGUUAUUUUAAUUUCAAGAAUUUUCAAAUCCAGUAACAUAUUUGAAUUUUGUUCUACAUGAUUUUAUCCUAUUCUUCUUAUAUUUAGAAUUUAACUUUUAUUUUUUUAAAAUUAUUUUUUUAUUUUUCAGAUUUCAAAAUCUAUAAUCAACUGUUAACAUCAUUAAAUUUAUUGGUGUGAUAUUUUUAAAAAAAAAUUACUUAAUAGCUAUGUAUUACAAAAAUAAUAUUGUAACGAACCUAAAUUUUAUAAAAAAUAAUUUUAAUAAUUAGAUUUAAAUUUUAAAUCUCAAAAGGCAGCCAAAAUAUCUUCACAAACUCUCCAAAAAUCUUAAAUUGUUACAAACAAUUCUAAAAACUCCGUAUCAACAACCACUAAUAUCUGUAAAAGUAGAUUCGAAUUAAAAAUUAUAUCCAAAUAUAUCAUUCAAAUUGUGUCCCAACCCACACUCAUGGCUGGAUAUCAUUAUGUUUUUACUUAUUAUUAAUAAUUAUAAUCACACUUUUAAGCCUAGUGCUCACUUUUCCCCCAUAAAUCAUGAACUAAAAUAUUGCAAUCCAUUGAUCUUCAAUCUUCAGUGUUGCCCAUCCAUCAUUUAUAUAUGUUAAUGCAGUUUUUGUCUACGUUUUUACUCUGGUUCUCUUUCAUCAUUCAUCUCUUACUUUGUAUUAUUUUGUAAAAUAAAUAAAUAAUUUUUGAUAAUUUCACAGCUAAAAUUGAUAGGUGAAACUAAUUCAGUUAAAUUCUACGCUAAUCAUGAGUUUUAAAGCUACUUCAUACUUAAAGGCGAGAUCAAAUCCUCAAUCAUUGAUUGUACGAGAAACAACUGCCAUUUCACCUAACCAAGUGAUUAACAUCUAGAUUAUUUUAUCAAUAUCUUAGUUCUUUCUUGUGCUAAACAGAUCAGCCUCCAUGAUCAUUAUUAUUGUUAUUAUUAUUACUAUUAUUAUUAUUUAAUCGUUAAUGUAAAUGCAAAAUAAAUCUUAAUUAGUAUCUAAUGAUAUCAAUUAAAUAGUUAAUAUUUUUAUGAUUCAUUAAAUUAUCUGCUUACUUUCUCUAUUUAAAAAUUUUAGUUUAAUUUUUUUUUGUUAAUUUUUGCUUAAUAAGGUAUGAUUUAAGGGUGAGGUGAAAAUUCUUUUUAAAUGGAUUAGAAUUUAAUUAUAAUGUUUAGAGUGUUAAAAUAUAAAUUUAAUAUUAAAUUAACUUAAAGAUUUUAUAAUUUUAAAAGAGCUAAAUUAUGUCAUUGUCUCUUGCAUUUAACUUCUAAUUGUGUUGAUACCACGAAUUAAUGUAACACUACUUCAAUUGUGAUAUUAUUUAAAUAUUAUUUUUAUACAAUGUGACAAAUAUUAAUACAAGUGCGUUUAGGGUUUAUGUGCCUCAAUAGCUAUAUUUUUCUUUUCGAAUUUUGAAAUUUCAAUCCUAACUCAAAUGAUAAUAAUUAAAUUUGCUAAGCUCAAUUUUGCUAUUAGUCUCAACUCUCGUAUUAUGUGUAAAUUGUGACUUUAGUCUCCAUAAUCUAAAUUUGAUAAUUUUGAGUCUAUAAUUUUCAAAUUUUAAAAUUUAAGUCAUUUAAAUGCAUUAGCAAUAAUGCAACUUUUUAUAUGUGAAAAUAACAAGUUAAAAUGAUAUUAUAUAUAUACUAGUAUAUUUUUCGCAUAAGAUUUUAAAAAGAACAAAUUUAACGUCUUAGUUUGAAUUGAAAUUUCAAAAUUAGAACGAAUUUAGUAUAGAAAAUUAAAAUCCAAGGACUAAUACAAGAAUUUGACAUAUUUUAAUAUAAAAAAUUAGAUAUAACGGAAGCUUAACAAGAUGGCAUUAUGGUAAAUAAGGGAAAAGAUUAAGGCCAAACAGAAAUAUGAGUGCGUUAUUUAACCGGCACAAAAGAGUCUAACCUGCACUUCACUGUAAUCAACAGCCAUGGCCGCCAUGGCUUCUUCUUCUUCUUCUUCUUCUUUUUCUUCUUCUUCUUCUUCUUCUUCUUCAUCUUCUUCCUCGUGUUAUGUUUGAAAAUCACUGCCAAAAAAACAUACAUUGUCCAAAUGAAACAUCAAGAUAAGCCACUUUCUUUCGAAACCCACCAUGAUUGGCACAGUUCGAGUUUACAAUCACUCACCGAUUCCCCACCCGAGUCACUUCUUUAUUCAUAUACUGAAGCUUUUAAUGGCUUCGCUGCUUCUCUAAAUGAAGAACAAGCUGAGUCUCUUAACAAAUCGGAAUCCAUUCUGGGUGUUUAUGAAGAUACUGUUUACACUCUCCAUACU
rnacentral:lncRNA from 1 species